GAUAGGAUGGUUGAGAAUUAGACAAUAGAUUGUAAAUCUAUUUACGGGUAAAGUUAAUAUAUUCCCUCUUAUCA
rnacentral:tRNA from 1 species